rnacentral:rRNA from 1 species
GACGAACGCUGGCGGCGUGCUUAACACAUGCCAGUCGAACGGAAAGGCCCUGCUUUUGUGGGGUGCUCGAGUGGCGAACGGGUGAGUAACACGUGAGUAACCUGCCCUUUACUUUGGGAUAACUUCAGGAAACUGGGGCUAAUACCGGAUAGGAGCUCCUGCUGCAUGGUGGGGGUUGGAAAGUUUCGGCGGUUGGGGAUGGACUCGCGGCUUAUCAGCUUGUUGGUGGGGUAGUGGCUUACCAAGGCUUUGACGGGUAGCCGGGCUGAGAGGGUUAACGGCAACAUUGGGACUGAGAGACGGACCAGAAUGCAAGGGGAGGCAGCAGUGGGGAAUAUUGCACAAUGGGCGGAAGCCUGAUGAAGCAAAGCAGCGUGCGGGAUGACGGCCUUCGGGUUGUAAACCGCUUUCGCCUGUGACGAAGCGUGAGUGACGGUAAUGGGUAAAGAAGCACCGGCUAACUACGUG